GGGUUGUGAGGUUAAGCGACUAAGCGUACACGGUGGAUGCCCUGGCAGUCAGAGGCGAUGAAGGACGUGCUAAUCUGCGAUAAGCGCCGGUAAGGUGAUAUGAACCGUUAUAACCGGCGAUUUCCGAAUGGGGAAACCCAGUGUGACUCGUCACACUAUCAUUAACUG
rnacentral:rRNA from 3 species